rnacentral:rRNA from 1 species
AGAGUUUGAUCAUGGCUCAGGAUGAACGCUGGCGGCGUGCCUAACACAUGCAAGUCGAGCGAUUCUCUUCGGAGAAGAGCGGCGGACGGGUGAGUAACGCGUGGGUAACCUGCCCUGUACACACGGAUAACAUACCGAAAGGUAUGCUAAUACGGGAUAAUGUGCUUUUGUCGCAUGGCAAAAGUAUCAAAGCUCCGGCGGUACAGGAUGGACCCGCGUCUGAUUAGCUAGUUGGUAAGGUAACGGCUUACCAAGGCGACGAUCAGUAGCCGACCUGAGAGGGUGAUCGGCCACAUUGGAACUGAGACACGGUCCAAACUCCUACGGGAGGCAGCAGUGGGGAAUAUUGCACAAUGGGCGAAAGCCUGAUGCAGCAACGCCGCGUGAGCGAUGAAGGCCUUCGGGUCGUAAAGCUCUGUCCUCAAGGAAGAUAAUGACGGUACUUGAGGAGGAAGCCCCGGCUAACUACGUGCCAGCAGCCGCGGUAAUACGUAGGGGGCUAGCGUUAUCCGGAAUUACUGGGCGUAAAGGGUGCGUAGGUGGUUUCUUAAGUCAGAAGUGAAAGGCUACGGCUCAACCGUAGUAAGCUUUUGAAACUGAGAAACUUGAGUGCAGGAGAGGAGAGUAGAAUUCCUAGUGUAGCGGUGAAAUGCGUAGAUAUUAGGAGGAAUACCAGUUGCGAAGGCGGCUCUCUGGACUGUAACUGACACUGAGGCACGAAAGCGUGGGGAGCAAACAGGAUUAGAUACCCUGGGUAGUCCACGCCGUAGACGAUGAGUACUAGCUGUCGGAGGUUACCCCCUUCGGUGGCGCAGCUAACGCAUUAAGUACUCCGCCUGGGAAGUACGCUCGCAGAGUGAAACUCAAAGGAAUUG